CGGCUCAGUAACACGUAGCUAACUUACCCUUAAGUCAGGAAUAACCUCUGGGAAACUGAGGCUAAUACCUGAUAAGAGAUAUACCCUGGAAUGAUUUAUCUCUGAAACUCGCGCUUAAGGAUAGGGCUGCGGCGGAUUAGGUUGUUGGCGGGGUAACUGCCCACCAAGCCUGUGAUCCGUAAGGGCUCUUAGCGGAGAAGCCCUGAAAGGGAAUCUGAGACACUAUUCCCAGCCCUACGGGGUGCAGCAGUUAGGAAUAUUUUGCAAUGCGCGCAAGCGUGACAAAUUGAGCCAGAGUGCUUCUCAAUUGAGAAGCUUUUGCCAAAUGUAAAAAGUUUGGAGAAUAAGGACUGGGUAAGACUAGUGCCAGCCGCCGCGGUAAUACUAGCGGUCCAAGUCGCAGCCAUUUUUAUUGGGUCUAAAACAUCCGUAGCUCGUUCGGUGAGUUUCCUGUGAAAUCUUAUCUCUUAAAGAUAAGGCGUGCGGGAAGUACUGCCGAACUAGAGACCGGAAGACGUAGGAAGUACGUUCAAAGUAGUGGUAAAAUACUUUAAUCUUGGACGGACUCACAAUAGCGAAGGCAUCCUACGAGUACGGUUCUGACAGUAAGGGAUGAAGGCUAGGGGCGCAAAACGGAUUAGAUACCCGUGUAGUCCUAGCAGUAAACACUGCACACUAAACAUCAGUACCUCUUCGGGAGGUAUUGGUGCUGCAGCGAAGGCGAAGAGUGUGCUACCUGGGAAGUAUAGUCGCAAGGCCGAAACUUAAAGGAAUUGGCGGA
rnacentral:rRNA from 1 species